CCACCCCCGGGGGCUCAGCUGCGGGUUCCGUCAGCCAAGAGACCCUGGCCUGACCUCGGUCCGAAGCCGCCUGGGUUUGGACUGGCCAGCAGGUGCAGUCGAUGGGCUGACCGACUAGGCUACUUGGUCUCAUUCAUUUACCUACAACCGCGUCACAGAAAUCUUCUAGUGCCUACAAACUGCCUGCUCGCUCUCUCAGAGCCAGGGAGCUGCUGUGUCCAUAAGCACAAUAACGUUCUCUUCUGCCUGCUGGAAAUCUCUGGUCCCCACUGAAUGGCCCUUCCUUCGUGGACCCCCUCUGGCCCGCCCCCCUUCCCGGGGCCCCUCCCCCAAGACCCAGGAUAGGGAGGGCUUCCCUUUCUUCAGCUGCCUCCCCAGUGUUGGGAACCCCGCCCGGGUCGAGCUGGCUGCCCCACCUGCAGACGCCCCAGCCCCGACCCCCGCCCCCCUCCCGCAAAGCUCUCUGGGGCUUUGCUCUAGCCCACCCAGAGGAGAGUCACAGUGGGGUGCAGGGACUUUUGGGGUGCCCUCCCCGGCAACCUAUUUCCACACUUCCUCCAGGCCUCUAGGUCUGAACUGUGACCCGACACUCAGGCCUGCCUUCCCCUCCUUUGCUCUGCUCCCUAGAGGCGUCUGCCCAAGGCCAGAGAGCGGAGGGUGGGGAGGGCCACUGUGAUGCCCUGGGCCUCAGGGGCUCGUCAUUCCCAUCACCCCAGGCUCUCUGCCUGUCUCCCACUGCACAGGUCAGGCAGGCUGAGGCAGAGGCUUCUAGAGAGGGUGGCUCAGGCCCAGCUGAGGAGGACCCGAGGCAGUGGUCCUGCGCCUUGCCCAUCCCUCUCUCCCCACCACUGCCCACCUGCUUGGCUCCUUCUCUGUUCAAUGCUCGCUCUCUCUGCCUCCUCCCCCCUGCAUUUCCAUUACUCAGACCAGUGCCUCCUCUGGAACAAAGCAACAGAGACCCAUUAGCAAGCACAGAUAGUGGUACUUACUCCAGGCUAUGGGUCUAGGGGUUAACUGGGCAGCUCCCCAUCCCUCCCCUGCAGGGGGCACUUGGGCACCAGGCAGAUCCAAGCCUUCAGCUCUGUCGGGAGGCCACCCCUGCCAGUCCACCUCAGCCUCUUUUCUGCCUCUAACCUGGGCAGUGGGCAGUGGGCAGGGUGUAACAGCCCCCUGGAGAGUGAACAGUGAGCUAAGCAGCAUCCACCUCCCCAAGACCAGAGCCUGGGGGGAGAGAAGGGGCUCCCCCAUUCUCAGGGCCAGGGCACUUCCUUGGGCUGGGGCUAGGGGAAUCAGCCCCAGACUGUUGGGUAAAAGGUAUGAUACAAAAAAAAAAAAAAAAGUGACUGUCACCACACUCAGACUCCAAGCAAUGACCGUAACCUGGGAUUUUAGGUUCCCCUGGUUCUGCAUACGGCAUGUAUGGUCCUUUAAAAAGGAGGUCAGGCAGGGGGAACGCCCCAGUGUCAGCCCUGGGAAUUUUUAAUCUCACCAAGUCUACAAUCCACAGAAAACUCAAUCGACUGAGUCCUCUAACUUAUUUCAAGAAUUCCAAAGCUCUUGUCUCCCCCUCAAGGCUCAUCACGAGGGGAUUAAGCUGGGGGUGACAGACACAGAUCUCAGCUUCUGCCCUGGGAUAGCACUGGAACCGGGAGGCUGUGAGGACAGGGAUCACUCUGCUUUCCUCCUCUACAAACACAUAAACCUUCUCAAGGGCUGGUCCCCAAGGGUUUAUGAGAGUUUGGAAACCAAUCUACACGGAGCAGUUGGCCACUCCCGGAAACAAGAACCUGUGUCCUGAAGACCGAGUCUGGACACCAGGCUCCAUCCCAACUGGAGGAGGGGGAGGCGUCAACCCCUGGGCUGCUAGGAGGUGGACGCUCACCCCAGGCUAGGAGUUUUCUAGUCCCUCCUCAUGACACUACCGUCCUCCUGGUGAAAGCUUGAGAACUAAGAGGACAAGUCUGCAUCAUCAAACCCGUCUUGUAAAUCAGCAAACACAUCAAACUUCCCAUCAGGAAGAGAAACGACGUUGUAUGUUUCCUUAAAACUCUCCCUCCUGAGGGAGAGGAAGACCCCAUGCUCCCCUUUGCUGCCCACUCCUGCUGUACCCCCUGCAAUGCCACUCCAUGGGAGGACUCAUUCAUUGGCUUCGUAGUGGCAAAUAUUCCUCUAGUUCUGUAACUCAACUAGACAUUUUGUAGUAAAGAAUUCUUGAAAUUCUCGAAUAAAAAGCAAUUCUUACUGUAAUAUUUUUAGUUUGGGGACACAAUUUCCUAAGGGGGGGAUUAAUGAACAUUUAUAUGCAUUAGCCCAAUUUAUGGAUUCCGUGUUUAUUAUAUGGUAGUACUGACGAAAAGUACCUUUCUAUCUGUACCUUUGCACAGUUUCUCUGUUCCUCGUAAGGAAGCUUCAUGAUGAGCAGUGCUCUUGCACCUGCUGUUUCUGUACAGAUCUCAUCAUUCCACUUACUUGUCAAAGCACAUUCUAUAUGUACUGUAAACAGGUAUCACUUUAGUAAGAUUUAGUCUUAAGGAUUUUUUCCACUUUUGUCAGUAACAGAUAUUUAUGGAUUAAAAAAAAAUAAAGCCGUUUCAACAUAA